UGGGGAAUAUUGCACAAUGGGCGCAAGCCUGAUGCAGCCAUGCCGCGUGUGUGAAGAAGGCCUUCGGGUUGUAAAGCACUUUCAGCGGGGAGGAAGGCGAUAAGGUUAAUAACCUUGUCGAUUGACGUUACCCGCAGAAGAAGCACCGGCUAACUCCGUGCCAGCAGCCGCGGUAAUACGGAGGGUGCAAGCGUUAAUCGGAAUUACUGGGCGUAAAGCGCACGCAGGCGGUCUGUCAAGUCGGAUGUGAAAUCCCCGGGCUUAACCUGGGAACUGCAUUGGAAACUGGCAGGCUAGAGUCUUGUAGAGGGGGGUAGAAUUCCAGGUGUAGCGGUGAAAUGCGUAGAGAUCUGGAGGAAUACCGGUGGCGAAGGCGGCCCCCUGGACAAAGACUGACGCUCAGGUGCGAAAGCGUGGGGAGCAAACAGG
rnacentral:rRNA from 1 species